rnacentral:Y_RNA from 1 species
GGCUGGUCUGAGUGCAGUGGGGUGUACAAGGAAUUGAUUACAACAGUUACAGCUUUCUUUGCUCCUUUUCCAUUUCCACUGCUGCUUCACUUGACUAGCCUUUA